rnacentral:rRNA from 1 species
UCGAGAAUAUUUGGCAAUGGGCGAAAGCCUGACCAUGCGACGCCGCGUGCUGGACGAAGUCCUUCGGGACGUAAACAGCUUUUAUGCGUGAAGAAGUAAUUGACAUUAGCGCAUGAAUAAGGGGCUCCUAACUCUGUGCCAGCAGGAGCGGUAAUACAGAGGCCCCAAGCAUUAUCCGGAAUCACUGGGCGUAAAGGGUGUGUAGGCGGCGCUAUUAGUCUUGCUUAAAAGCACUCGGGCUUAACCCGGGUAAUGGGCAAGAAACGGUAGUGCUUGAGGACGCGAGAGGUAGAGGGAACUCAUGGUGUAGGGGUGAAAUCCGUUGAUAUCAUGGGGAACACCAAAUGCGAAGGCACUCUACUGGCGCGCACCUGACGCUGAAACACGAAAGCGUGGGGAUCGAACGGGAUUAGAUACCCGUGUAGUCC